CUUGGACAUAAACCAGCUCUUAUCUGAUUUCAGAAGCUAAGCAGAGUCAAGCCUGGCUCAUACUUGGGUGAAAGACCAAUAGGAAAAGCCAGAAAUCUCUAAGA
rnacentral:rRNA from 1 species